GGGGGACCCAACCUGUGGGGAAGGACUUGGGAUUCUGUGAACAUCCAAUGUAAUCCUCCUACCCAUGUUUCCCCUACUUUCUUAGGUGUGAUCUUUACUAGUGAGGAACAUUGGAAGACCCUUCGGUGAUUCUCUCUGGUCACCAUGAGAGACUUUGGAAUGGGAAAGCAGAGUGUAGAGGAUAAAGGAAGAGGCCCAAUAUUUGGUGGAGGAACUGAAGAAAUACAAGGUGAAUUACUUCUGCCACUGUCUCUAGGUGGCAGUGUUUCCCCG
rnacentral:lncRNA from 1 species